UGCAACUCGACUACAUGAAGCUGGAAUCGCUAGUAAUCGCAGAUCAGAAUGCUGCGGUGAAUACGUUCCCGGGUCUUGUACACACCGCCCGUCACACCAUGGGAGUCGGAAAUGCCCGAAGCCGGUGACCCAACCAAAAGGAGGGAGCCGUCGAAGGCAGGUCUGAUAACUGGGGUGAAGUCGUAACAAGGUAGC
rnacentral:rRNA from 1 species